UACGGGGGGGGCAAGCGUUGUUCGGAAUUACUGGGCGUAAAGGGCUCGUAGGUGGCCAACUAAGUCACACGUGAAAUCCCUCGGCUUAGCCGGGGAACUGCGUGUGAUACUGGAUGGCUUGAGUUUGGGAGAGGGAUGCGGAAUUCCAGGUGUAGCGGUGAAAUGCGUAGAUAUCUGGAGGAACACCGGUGGCGAAGGCGGCAUCCUGGACCAAUACUGACACUGAGGAGCGAAAGCCAGGGGAGCAAACGGG
rnacentral:rRNA from 1 species